UAUCUUCGGGGCGGGGCGCAAUUCCCCACCGGCAGUAAAGUCUGCGAACUCUGAACACAGUCAGAGCCGAACUGGUGAGAUUCCAGUACCGACGGUUAUAGUCCGGAUGAAAGAGGAUG
rnacentral:ncRNA from 1 species